rnacentral:rRNA from 1 species
AGCGAACGCUGGCGGCAGGCCUAACACAUGCAAGUCGAACGGACCCUUCGGGGUUAGUGGCGGACGGGUGAGUAACACGUGGGAACGUGCCUUUUGGUUCGGAAUAGCUCCUGGAAACGGAUGGUAAUGCCGAAUGUGCCCUUUGGGGGAAGGAUUUAUCGCCAUUAGAGCGGCCCGCGUCUGAUUGGCUAGUUGGUGAGGUAAAGGCUCACCAAGGCGACGAUCAGUAGCUGGUCUGAGAGGAUGACCAGCCACAUUGGGACUGAGACACGGCCCAAACUCCUACGGGAGGCAGCAGUGGGGAAUCUUGCGCAAUGGGCGAAAGCCUGACGCAGCCACGCCGCGUGAAUGAUGAAGGUCUUAGGAUUGUAAAAUUCUUUCACCGGGGACGAUAAUGACGGUACCCGGAGAAGAAGCCCCGGCUAACUUCGUGCCAGCCGCCGCGGUAACAC